GGUCCCAUACGGUAGUUGGUUAGAGCGUCGUACUAAUAUCAUGACUCAGGUGUAAGGUUGCCGUGAGUUCAAGCCUCACUGGGACCA